UUUUUUGGAGAGUUUGAUCCUGGCUCAGGACGAACGCUGGCGGCGUGCCUAAUACAUGCAAGUCGAGCGAACC
rnacentral:rRNA from 1 species